rnacentral:rRNA from 1 species
UACGUAGGGACCGAGCGUUGUCCGGAUUCAUUGGGCGUAAAGAGCUCGUAGGCGGCUGUUCAAGUCGAACGUGAAAACUCGGAGCUCAACUCCGAGCCUGCGUUCGAGACUGGAUGGCUAGAGUCUGGUAGGGGGAUCUGGAAUUCCUGGUGUAGCGGUGGAAUGCGCAGAUAUCAGGAGGAACACCGGUGGCGAAGGCGGGAUCCUGGGCCAGUACUGACGCUGAGGAGCGAAAGCAUGGGGAGCGAACAGG